UUAUUGAACGAUACAGAGAAGAUUAGCAUGACUCUUGUGCAGGGAUGACACGCUCAAAUCGAGAAGUGUACCAAGUUCAA
rnacentral:snRNA from 1 species